UACGGGGGGGGCAAGCGUUGUUCGGAAUUACUGGGCGUAAAGGGCUCGUAGGCGGCCAACUAAGUCCGACGUGAAAUCCCAAGGCUUAACCUUGGAACUGCGUCGGAUACUGGAUGGCUUGAAUUCGGGAGAGGGAUGCAGAAUUCCAGGUGUAGCGGUGAAAUGCGUAGAUAUCUGGAGGAAUACCGGUGGCGAAGGCGCCACUCUGGGCCGAAACUGACGCUGAGGAGCGAAAGCGUGGGUAGCAAACAGG
rnacentral:rRNA from 1 species